rnacentral:rRNA from 1 species
UUGACCUCGGAUCAGGUAGGGAUACCCGCUGAACUUAAGCAUAUCAAUAAGCGGAGGAAAAGAAACCAACAGGGAUUGCCUCAGUAACGGCGAGUGAAGCGGCAAGAGCUCAAAUUUGAAAUCUGGCUCCUUCGGGGUCCGAGUUGUAAUUUGUAGAGGAUGCUUCGGGUGCGGCCCCCGUCUAAGUGCUCUGGAACGGGCCAUCGGAGAGGGUGAAAAUCCCGUCUGGGAUGGGGUGUCCGCGUCCAUGUGAAGCUCCUUCGACGAGUCGAGUUGUUUGGGAAUGCAGCUCUAAAUGGGUGGUAAAUUUCAUCUAAAGCUAAAUACUGGCCGGAGACCGAUAGCGCACAAGUAGAGUGAUCGAAAGAUGAAAAGCACUUUGAAAAGAGAGUUAAACAGCACGUGAAAUUGUUGAAAGGGAAGCGCUUGCGACCAGACUCGCUUCCGGGGUUCAGCCGGCUUUCGGGCCGGUGUACUUCCCCGGGGGCGGGCCAGCGUCGGUUUGGGCGGCCGGUCAAAGGCCCCUGGAAUGUAACGCCUCUCGGGGCGCCUUAUAGUCAGGGGUGUCAUGCGGCCAGCCUGGACCGAGGAACGCGCU